GAUGAACGCUGGCGGCGUGCCUAACACAUGCAAGUCGAGCGUGAACCCUGCGAAUGAAACUUCGGUCGAUUUUGCAGGGGGAAAGCGGCGGACGGGUGAGUAACGCGUAGGUAACCUGCCCCAUACUGAGGGAUAGCCUCGGGAAACCGGGAUUAAUACCUCAUAACACCGUAUAUUCGCAUGGAUGUGCGGUCAAAGAUUUAUCGGUAUGGGAUGGGCCUGCGUCUGAUUAGCUGGUUGGUGGGGUAACGGCCUACCAAGGCGACGAUCAGUAGCCGACCUGAGAGGGUGAUCGGCCACAUUGGAACUGAGACACGGUCCAAACUCCUACGGGAGGCAGCAGUGGGGAAUAUUGCACAAUGGGCGAAAGCCUGAUGCAGCAACGCCGCGUGAGCGAAGAAGGCCUUUGGGUCGUAAAGCUCUGUCGGGUAGGAAGAUAAUGACGGUACUACCCGAGGAAGCCCGGCUAACUACGUGCCAGCCGCCGCCGGUAACACCCUCGUCUCUACUAC
rnacentral:rRNA from 1 species